GAGCCAGUGGCGAAGGGUAUCGCGUCCGCGUCAUAUAUGCGACAUUAUGGAUUCACUGUGUAUGCGCGGAAGGCCCGGGUUCGACUCCCGGCUGGCUCA